rnacentral:misc_RNA from 1 species
UCAAAACAGCGGACUUCGGUCCUUGCUGCACCCUUGUCUUUUGCGUACCGUAUGUUUCCUCGGCGGGCUUGCCUGCCGGUUGGACAUUAUCUAAACCUUUUUGUAGUUGCAGUCAGCGUCAAGAAAACAAACAAUAAUUA